rnacentral:ncRNA from 1 species
CUUAGAAGUAAUUGGUGUUCUGUUCACAUCAGCAAUGCCUGAACACGAUGUUCAGGCAAGCUGUCACUGAGCCACGGAUGGCGAAUUGACAGCGGUUGCGUCAAUAUGGAAUCUCUGAUAUCAGAACACCUUAUUACUUCUUAGGUGCGA